rnacentral:rRNA from 1 species
GACGAACGCUGGCGGCGGGCUUAACACAUGCAAGUCGAACGGAUAGGCCCUGCUUGUUUGGGGUGCUCGAGGGGCGAACGGGUGAGUAACAUGUGAGUAACCUGCCCUGUACUGUGGGAUAACUUCAAGAAACUGGUGCUAAUACCUGAUAGGAGCUCCUGCUGCAUGGUGGGGGUUGGAACGUUUCGGUGGUUGGGGAUGGACGCGCGGCUUAUCAGCUUGUUGGUGGGGUAGUGGCUUACCAAGGCUUUGACGGGUAGCCGGCCUGAGAGGGUGACCGGCCACAUUGGGCCUGAGAUACGGCCCAGACUACUACGGGAGGCAGCAGUGGAGAAUAUUGCACAAUGGGCGGAAGCCUGAUGCAGCAACGCCGCGUGCGGGAUGACGGCCAUGGGGUUGUAAAGCGCUUUAGCCUGUGACGAAGCGUGAGUGACGGUAAUGGGUAAAGAAGCACCGGCUAACUACGUG